rnacentral:rRNA from 1 species
AAGUUAAGGGUUCGAAGACGAUCAGAUACCGUCGUAGUCUUAACUAUAAAUGAUACUGACCAGGGAUAGGAUACUGUCCAUCUCGACUCUUCCCGGACCUUGGAGAAAUCAGAGUCUUUGAGUUCUGGGGGGAGUAUGGUCGCAAGGCUGAAACUUAAAGGAAUUGACGGAAGGGCACACAAAGAGUGGAACCUGCGGCUUAAUUUGACUCAACACGGGAAAACUCACCAGGUCCGGAUACACGGAUGAAAGACAAGCUGAAAGACUUUUCUCAAUGAUGUAAGUGGUGGUGCAUGGUCGUUCUUAGUUCGUGGAGUGAUUUGUCUGGUCUAUUCCGAUAACGAGCGAGACCCCGACGUUCCUAAUAGGGGUAGCAGCCCGGCUUGCCCGCAAGGGCUUGSUAGCCGCYGCCUCAUACAARSUUUUUAGACGUAUCAGAGCCGAUAAGGUUCUUGAAAUGGGUUAAUAACAGGUCAGUCAUGCCCUUAGAUGUUCUGGGCCGCACGCGCGUUACAAUGGCACGUAAAGAAAGUGCUCACAAGGGCGUAUCCGCGGCUCUACGGGUCGCGGUAACCCUUAGUCCCUGCCUUGACUGGGACAGACUAUUGUAAUUAUUGGUCUCAAACGAGGAAUUUUUAGUAGUCGCAGGUCAUUAGCCUGCGACGAAUGCGUCCCUGCCCUGAGGCGAGACGAGGUGCGCUAGGCUCGAUGGUGGAACCCCGGUAGCUCCGGAUCCGCCAGAAGGCUUGGCCAAGAUGAUGCCAGCAGUCCGCCUGGACCCGAUCGGUAGCGCCGAGAGGGACUGGGGUCCGAAGCAGGCUAGUGCCUUGUUAAGCUGAGGGGUUAAGAGGGAGGGGUCCAACCCCUCUUCUAGUCCCG